GACUCUGGGCUAAGCAUACUGCUGUGGUUUGCUGCCUGAGGGGUUUUUGCCUGGAUGGUUUUGGUUUUUAAAGUGCCUUGGCUAUUGGAGUAAGGUCUGAAGACUUGGCUAAGGUUAGUCAGGGUUGUUUGUCACUUAGUUGUAGAAAAAUGGAGAUUUGACAAUUGUACUAGUCAUGUUGUAGCUGUUACCUAAGUUUAAUGAACAAGAUCCUGAUGUGUUUUUCUCUUUGUUUGAGGACAUGGCAGAGGACAGUGAUUGGAGUGAUCUAGACUGCACUGCCCUGUUGCAAAGUGUGAUGGUAGGUAAGGCCCAAGAAGCCUAUGUUUCGUUAACUUUGGCUGAAAGAAGGUGUAUCAAUCUGUUAAAGAAGCCGUGCUAAAGGCUUAUGGAUGGGUUCCUGAACACUACAGACAGCAGUUUAGAAACUGCAGGAAGGCUGAAAAACAGACAAAUGCAGAUCUAGUUACAGAAUUAAACACCCAGUUUUACAGUUGGUUGUCAGCAGAAGGUGUGAAGGAUUUUGAGUCCCUUUAUAAUUUGAUGGUGUUGGAACAGUUUAAAAACAUUAUUCCAGAUCGGGUUGCUACCUAUAUUAAUGAGCAAAAAGAGAAAACGUAUUAAACAUGGGUUUGUUUCCAUGAGUGACUGUGCAAAUAAAGUGCCUGCUAAGAUACUGUGUGACACUGGAGCAUCUGAGUCUUUUAUAUUAGAAUCUGUUUUGCCGUUUUCUUCAUAUUCUGAUACAGGUCAUAGUGUUUUGAUUAGAGGAAGUUGUUUGGAAACUUUUGCUGUACCUCUACAUAAGAUCUACUUGCACUUAGAACUGGUACAGGGAGAAGUAACCAUUACUGUUCGCCCUUCUUUGCCAGUGGAAAAUGUUUCUGUGAUUCUGGGAAACAAUCUGGCAGGUGGACUUCUUGUGUAGUGACUCGUGCCAUCACUUGAUCUCUGGCUAAUAAGAAGGUUGAGUUUGGUAAGUCUGGUUCUACCCCCAAGAAGACUGCCUAUGUGCCAACUCUUCCUUGUUACUCAGUGAGCAGGAGGACACAAGCUUAACUGCUUUGUUUGACCAAGUCCAGACAGCUGAACAGAAUAAGGUGUCCUGUGGGUAUUUUCUGUUAGACAACCUGUUGGUGUGUAAAUGGUUGCCUAAUAGUAAUAGGGAUAUUGUUGGUCCAGUCUAUCAAGUUGUAGUUCCAGUUAAGUUUAGGAACCUUGUUAUACAAAAUGCGCAUGGAGAAUUGUCUGGCCAUCUAGGUGUAAACAAGACUUACCAUCAAGUUUUCAUCACUUUUGUUGGCCACGUCUGAAAAAAGAUUUUGCUUAUUUUAUUAAGACUUGUCAUACUUGGCAGUUAACUGGAAAACCAAAUCAAAAUCUAAAAAUCUGUUCCUCUUUUUCCCAUACCUGCCAUUGGGAAGCCUUUUGAACAUUUAAUCAUGGAUUGUGUUGGCCCACUGAGUCCUUCAAAGUCUGGAUCUGUGUAUUUGCUGACAGUUAUGUGUAAAUGCACUCGUUACCCUGCAGCAUAUGCUCUGAAAACCAUUAAAACAAAGUCAGUGGUCAAAGCUUUGUCUAAUUUAAUUUCAGUGUUUGGAAUUCCAGAGACAAUUCAGACAGACUGAGGUACCAAUUUCACCUCAUGCAUGUUUGCUGAGGUUUUGAAGCAACUUGGUGUGGUACAUCAACAAGCAGUGCUCAUCAUGCUCAAAGUCAAGGGGUUCUGGAACAUUUUCACCAGACUCUGAAGGCAUUGUUGCGAGCAUAUUGUACAGAGUUAUGUAGAGACUGGGAAGAAGGUCUGCCUUGGCUUCUUCUAGCAGCUCAUGAAGUUGUACAAGGAAUCACAGGUUUCAGUCUGAAUGACUUGGUGUUUGAACAUCAGGUGCCUGGCCCACUUGAAGUUCUAAAAAGUAAUCUGGAGAGUUAUGAUCCACCUUUGAACUUGUUUGACUACAUUAAUGGUUUUCGUCGCAGAUUGUUUUUGGCUGGUAAACUAGCUUCUGAGAAUCUUAAAAGUUCAGAGAAAAAUGAAACAAUGGUUUGACCAGAAGGCUGAAAAUAGUUUUUCACCUAGGAGAUAAGGUUCUUGCUUUACUUCCUGUUCAAUGUUCUCCUUUUCAGGCAAUGUUCUAUGGUCCAUAUUCUGUUUUGAAACAGGUGUUGGUACAAGACUAUGUGGUUUCUACCCCAGACCGGAAAUUACUGACUCAGCUUUGCCAUGUAAAUUUACUGAAGCCUUAUUUCAGUCGGAUUCUGGAAGAGAAAGAAGUGAAGGCCAUUGCCUAUUCUGUGAAAAUAAACUUGAUCUAUACAGGCAAGUUGGAUGAAGAUGUGCAGAGUCCAGAUGAUGCGAUGUUUCAUCCCAGACUCAAGAACUCUGUGAUGUUAUCCAACUUACAACUAUUACUGGGUCAUUUGUCUGCUGAAAGAAGUGAGCAGUUGAAGCAGUUAAUUUUGGAUUUGUGUGCAUUGUUCAGUGAUAUUCCAACACGUACUCAUUUUGUUGAGCAUGACCUUGUUGUAGGAAAUGUGCAUCCUGUCGGUCAGUAUUUCUUUCGUGUUCCUCCAGAAAAAAGAUAAUUUUUGGAGUCAGAAGUUCAGUAUUUGUUGGAGAAUGGAAUGGCUAAACCAUCAUGUACCAGUUGGGCUAAACCAUGUUUGUUAGUAAAUAAACCUGAUGGUACUUAUAGAUUCUGUAAUGACUACAGGAAACUGAACAGCAUUACAAAACAUGACUCUUAUCCACUUCCUCAGGUGGAAGACUGUGUUGAUCGAGUUGGGCCUGCUAAGUUUGUGAGUAAAUUUGAUUUGCUCAAAGGUUAUUAUCAAGUGCCCUUGUCUGCUUGAGCCCAAGAGGUUUAUUUUAUUAUACCAUCUGGGUUAUAUUCUUAUAUAGUCAUGUCUUUGGAAUGCACCAGCCACAUUCCAGUGAUUGAUAAACCAAGUGGUUGCUGGACUGAAAGAGUGUCAUCUACUUGGAUGAUGUAGUGGUCUUUGGUGAUACAUGGCCUGAACACAUUAUGUAUCCAGGCACUGUUUCAGCAUCUUCACGACGCUCAUUUAACGGUAAACUUGGCAAAAUGUGAGUUUGCAAAGGCUACUGUGACUUAUUUGGGGAAGGUGGUUGGGCAAGGUCAAGUGCAGCCAGUGCAGGCUAAUUUUCAAGCUACUGCUAGUUUUCCACCUCCUACCUCAAAAAAUGAGUUGAUGAGGUUUUUGGGGAUGGUGGGUUACUAUAGGAACUUCUGGGAAAAUUUUUCUACUGUGGUGGCUCCGUUGUCUGACCGUUUUAAAGGCUAAAGUCCAGUUUAGAUUGUCCGCAACCUGCCAGAAGACAUUCGAAAAUGUCAAACUCCUUUUAAGCCCUACACCACUUUUGUAUGCUCCAAGACUGGAUCAGCCAUUUCAGGUACAAGUUCACGCUAGUCAAGUGGAUGCUGGAGCUGUUUUGUUGCAGACAGAUGAGGUAGGGCUUGACCAUCCAGUUUGUUUCUUUUCAAAGUUCAAUCAACAUCAACUUAACUACUCAACCAUUGAGAAAGAGGCCUUAGCUCUUAUUUGGCGCUGCAACAUUUUGAUGUAUAUGUGGGAUGUGGUGUUUCUCCAGUUGUGAUAUAUUCCGAUCAUAACCCCUUAACUUUACUACACUCUUUACAGAGUCCAAAUCAGCACUUGAUGCGGUGGGCCCCAUUUCUACAACCUUAUAAUCUGGAGAUUCAGCACAUUCGAGGCACUGAAAAUGUACUGGCUGAUGCAUUGUCUUGUGCCAUUGAUAAACCGAAUGACUAGCUUAAUAACUCCAGUGGGCCCAUUUAGGGCCCUCUUUUUAAAUGGGGGGAGAUGUUACGGCCCAGAUAGGUCUUUGGGAUUUUUUUUCUUUCAGGGGUUUGGAAAUGGGCCUGCUGCAGGUGGUGCUGGUUGGCCUAAUUGCUGCUACUGCUUAAAAGCUGCCAUGUAUGCAGCACAAGGGAGGCUCUCUCCCCUGCAAUUCCUCCCCUGUUGGUUUGGUUGUAAGGUAUUUCUUUUUAGGUGUCAUUCCUUUAAAUAAACAAUCAUUUUGUUUUGUGACAAAA